UACAGAGGGUGCAAGCGUUGUUCGGAAUUAUUGGGCGUAAAGGGCGCGUAGGCGGUGCGGUAAGUCUCUAGUGAAAUCUCCGGGCUCAACUCGGAGCCUGCUAGGGAAACUGCCGUGCUUGAGUGUGGGAGAGGUGAGUGGAAUUCCCGGUGUAACGGUGAAAUGCGCAGAUAUCGGGAAGAACACCCGUGGCGAAGGCGGCUCUCGUGGAACGGUACUGACGCUGAGACGCGGAAAGCGUGGGGAGCGAACAGG
rnacentral:rRNA from 1 species